rnacentral:rRNA from 1 species
GACGAACGCUGGCGGCGUGCCUAAUACAUGCAAGUUGAGCGCUGAAGGUUGGUACUUGUACCAACUGGAUGAGCAGCGAGCGGGUGAGUAACGCGUGGGGAAUCUGCCUUUGAGCGGGGGACAACAUUUGGAAACGAAUGCUAAUACCGCAUAAAAACUUUAAACACAAGUUUUAAGUUUGAAAGAUGCAAUUGCAUCACUCAAAGAUGAUCCCGCGUUGUAUUAGCUAGUUGGUGAGGUAAAGGCUCACCAAGGCGAUGAUACAUAGCCGACCUGAGAGGGUGCUCGGCCACAUUGGGACUGAGACACGGCCCAAACUCCUACGGGAGGCAGCAGUAGGGAAUCUUCGGCAAUAGACGAAAGUCUGACCGAGCAACGCCGCGUGAGUGCAGAAGGUUUUCGGAUCGUAAAACUCUGUUGGUAGAGAAGAACGUUGGUGAGAGUGGAAAGCUCAUCAAGUGACGGUAACUACCCAGAAAGGGACGGCUAACUACGUG